UCCUGGGGACAGAAAGUUAAAAAAGAACAAGAAGAAUUCCCAUGAAGGAGUUUCCUGGUUUGUUCCUGUGGAAAAUGUGGAGUCUGGAUCAAAGAAGGAAAAUGUACCCAAGACUUGUGGCCCUGGCAUCUCCUGGUUUGAACCCAUAACCAAGACCAGGCCGUGGAGGGAGCCACUGCGGGAGCAGAACUGGCAGGGGCAGCACCUGGACAGUCGGAGCUCCCUGGCAGGCCCAGUAAGAGAGGAUGGCAGAGACCUACUGAAGCCAUUUGUGAGAGCAACCCUGCAGGAAUCGCUUCAGUUUCACAGACCUGACUUCAUCUCCCGCUCUGGGGAGCGGAUAAAGCGCCUGAAGUUAAUAGUCCAGGAGAGGAAGCUUCAGAGCAUGUUACAGAGCGAGCGGGAUGCACUAUUCAACAGUGACAAGGAACGGCAGGGCCACCAGAAUCGCAUGCGCCCGCUGCCCAAGAGAGUCUUCCUGGCUAUCCAGAAGAACAAGCCUAUCAGCAAGAAGGAAAUGAUUCAGAGGUCCAAACGCAAUCCCGUUUCUAGGAAUUGAUCCAAUAGGGUGAGAAAGAACAGUGUUCUCCAGAACACAGAUUUAUGAGCAGCUUCCAGAAGUACAGAAAAAGAGAGAAGA
rnacentral:sRNA from 1 species